UACGUAGGGAGCAAGCGUUGUCCGGAAUCAUUGGGCGUAAAGCGCGCGUAGGUGGCCACAUAAGUCCGUUGUGAAAGUCAAAGGCUCAACCUUUGAAAGCCGAUGGAUACUGUGUGGCUAGAGUACGGAAGAGGCGAGUGGAAUUCCUGGUGUAGCGGUGGAAUGCGCAGAUAUCAGGAGGAACACCAAUAGCGAAGGCAGCUCGCUGGGACGUUACUGACACUGGGGCGCGAAAGCGUGGGGAGCGAACAGG
rnacentral:rRNA from 1 species